rnacentral:tRNA from 1 species
CGCGGCAUGAGGCAGCUUCCCGGCCUCGGGCUCUCGGACAGCCCGGUUCUCGCUACGGGAUACAGCGGUGGUGCGAUCGCCACCGGCUGGGC